rnacentral:rRNA from 1 species
CACCCGCAGCUCGAGUGGUGGUCACUUUUAUUGAGCCUAAAGCGUUUGUAGCCGGUUUUGCAAAUCUUCAGAUAAAUUCCUCUGCUUAACAGAUGAUCCUCUGAAGAGACUGCGAGACUUGGGACCGGGUGAGGUUGAAGGUACUUCCGGGGUAGGGGUAAAAUCCUGUAAUCCUGGAAGGACGACCGGUGGCGAAGGCGUUCAACUAGAACGGAUCCGACGGUGAGGAACGAGGGCUAGGGUAGCAAACCGGAUUAGAUACCCGGGUAGUCCUAGCUGUAAACACUGCCCACUUGGUGUUGCCCCUCCGAUGAGGGGAGGCAGUGCCGGAGCGAAGGUGUUAAGUGGGCCGCUUGGGGAGUAUGGUCGCAAGGCUGAAACUUAAAGGAAUUGGCGGGGGAGCACCGCAACGGGAGGAGCGUGCGGUUUAAUUGGAUUCAACGCCGGAAAACUCACCGGGAGCGACCUUUGGAUGAGAGUCAGCCUGAUGAGCUUACUCGAUAGAAGGAGAGGUGGUGCAUGGCCGUCGUCAGCUCGUACCGUAGGGCGUUCACUUAAGUGUGAUAACGAGCGAGACCCCCAUCUCUAAUUGCUAACGUGCAUUCGCGUGCACGCGCACUUUAGAGGGACCGCCAGUGCUAAACUGGAGGAAGGAGGGGUCGACGGCAGGUCAGUACGCCCCGAAUCUCCCGGGCAACACGCGCGCUACAAAGGGCAGGACAAUGAGUUGCCACCUCGAAAGGGGGAGCUAAUCUCGAAACCUGUUCGUAGUUAGGAUUGAGGGCUGUAACUCGCCCUCAUGAAUGUGGAUUCCGUAGUAAUCGCGGGUCAACAGCCCGCGGUGAAUAUGCCCCUGCUCCU